CCUACGGGGGGCUGCAGUGGGGAAUAUUGCACAAUGGGGGAAACCCUGAUGCAGCGACGCCGCGUGAGUGAAGAAGUAUUUCGGUACGUAAAGCUCUAUCAGCAGGGAAGAAAAUGACGGUACCUGACUAAGAAGCACCGGCUAACUACGUGCCAGCAGCCGCGGUAAUACGGCGGCGGCAAGCGUUAUCCGGAUUUACUGGGUGUAAAGGGAGCGUAGACGGCAGCGCAAGUCUGGAGUGAAAUCCCAUGGCUUAACCAUGGAACUGCUUUGGAAACUGUGGAGCUAGAGUGCAGGAGAGGUAGGCGGAAUGCCUAGUGUAGCGGUGAAAUGCGUAGAUAUUAGGAAGAACACCGAUGGCGAAGGCAGCUUACUGGACUGUAACUGACGUUGAGGCUCGAAAGCGUGGGGAGCAAACAGGAUUAGAUACCCCGGUAGUC
rnacentral:rRNA from 1 species